rnacentral:tRNA from 1 species
GCGAUUAUAGCUCAGUUGGUUGCCUGCGAAGCCGAAGGCUUUGAAGGCUUUAGAGAGCAUUAGCUUCCCAAGCUAAGGGUCACGAGUUCGAGUCUCGCUUACCGCU